GACGAACGCUGGCGGCGUGCUUAACACAUGCAAGUCGAGCGGUAAGGCCCUUUCGGGGGUACACGAGCGGCGAACGGGUGAGUAACACGUGGGUGACCUGCCCUCAGCUCUGGGAUAAGCCUGGGAAACCGGGUCUAAUACUGGAUAUGACUCCAUGACGCAUGUUGUGGGGUGGAAAGCCUUGUGCGGCUGAGGAUGGGCCCGCGGCCUAUCAGCUUGUUGGUGGGGGGAUGG
rnacentral:rRNA from 1 species